rfam:Pantoea sp. At-9b, complete genome.
CGUAUUAUGCUGUCGCCAGCCCGCAUCCCGUCUGGCCUGAUGCGCGCGGCCUGUGCGAUAGCACAGCACAAAACUCCUGACCGGAUUUU